AGAGUUUGAUCAUGGCUCAGGACGAACGCUGGCGGCGUGCUUAGCACAUGCAAGUCGAACGGAAAGGCCCUUCGGGGUACUCGAGUGGCGAACGGGUGAGUAACACGUGGGUGAUCUGCCCUGCACUUUGGGAUAAGCCUGGGAAACUGGGUCUAAUACCGAAUAGGACCACGCGCUUCAUGGUGUGUGGUGGAAAGCUUUUGCGGUGUGGGAUGGGCCCGCGGCCUAUCAGCUUGUUGGUGGGGUAAUGGCCUACCAAGGCGACGACGGGUAGCCGGCCUGAGAGGGUGACCGGCCACACUGGGACUGAGAUACGGCCCAGACUCCUACGGGAGGCAGCAGUGGGGAAUAUUGCACAAUGGGCGCAAGCCUGAUGCAGCGACGCCGCGUGAGGGAUGACGGCCUUCGGGUUGUAAACCUCUUUCAAUAGGGACGAAGCGCAAGUGACGGUACCUAUAGAAGAAGCACCGGCCAACUACGUGCCAGCAGCCGCGGUAAUACGUAGGGUGCGAGCGUUGUCCGGAAUUACUGGGCGUAAAGAGCUCGUAGGUGGUUUGUCGCGUUGUUCGUGAAAACUCACAGCUUAACUGUGGGCGUGCGGGCGAUACGGGCAGACUAGAGUACUGCAGGGGAGACUGGAAUUCCUGGUGUAGCGGUGGAAUGCGCAGAUAUCAGGAGGAACACCGGUGGCGAAGGCGGGUCUCUGGGCAGUAACUGACGCUGAGGAGCGAAAGCGUGGGGAGCGAACAGGAUUAGAUACCCCGGUAGUCCAA
rnacentral:rRNA from 1 species